rnacentral:rRNA from 1 species
UUAAAGGGCUGCAGUAUAUUGACUGUACAAAGGUAGCAUAAUCAUUAGUCAUUUAAUUGAUGACUUGUAUGAAGGAUUGGAUGAAAUAUAAACUGUCUCUUAAUUAUAUUUAGAAUUUAAUUUUUUAGUUAAAAAGUUAAAAUAAAUUAGAAAGACGAGAAGACCCUAUAGAGUUUUAUAAAUAAAAUUAAUUGAGAUUAUUUGUAAAGGUUAAAAUUAAAAUUAAUUUAUUUAUUUUGUUGGGGUGACAGAAAAAUAUGAAAAACUUUUUAUAUGUUUAAAACAUUAAUAAGUGGUUAAAUGAUCCAGUAUUAUUGAUUAUAAGAAAAAAUUACCUUAGGGAUAACAGCGUAAUUUUUUUUUUUAGUUCACAUAAAAAAAAAAGUUUGCGACCUCGAUGUUGGAUUAAGAUAAAAUUUAAAUGCAGAAG